UAGUAAAUGUCACGGUAAGCUUUAUGUGUAUUUUACCACAAUAAAAAAAAAGUGACCCUACAGCUAGCAGCUCCCAAAAGAAACUCCCACACCCAUUAGCAGUCACUCCCCAUUCUUCCUCCGGCAGCCCUGGCAACCAUGAAUCUGCUUUCUGCCCCUAUAAAUUUGCCUAUUCUGAGUGUUUCAUAUAAAUUGAAUCAUACCAAAGGUGGCCCUUUGUGUCUGGCCUCUUUGAGCACAGUGUUUUUAGGGUUCAUCCAUAUUGUAGCAUUUAUCAGUACUUCAUUUCUUUUUAUGGCCGAAUAAUAUUCCAUUGCAUGGAUAUACCAAAAUGUGUUUAUCCAUUUACUGAUGGGUGAAUGAAUUGUUUCCAAGCCAGCACAUUUUAUAGAGGAAAAGGAAAGCGCUGGUUAACUUGAACAAAAAAAAAAUAAAAGUGCUUUCUGCCAUCUGGGACCUUGGCUGUGGAUCAGGUGAGUGCACAGAUCAGACCAAAGCCCUACAGUUGGCAUGGCCUGGGCCUCUGUCCAUGGUUGCGGGGGCAUCUCCACAGCUACUGCAUGCAGUGAUCAUGGGGGCCCCAGCCCUGGGCUUAGGCAAGGGCACUGUGUUGUUGUACAUCACCAAACACUUCAGGCUGAGGCACCUCUCCAGCAGGGACUGCUCCAGGACAACAUGCUACAGGGCACAUAAAUUGGUAUGUUAGCCAAGGCUUUUCUUGACCAAGGGAAACUCAUCCCAAAUGAUGUUACGACUUGGCUGGCCCGUCAUGAACUGAAAAAUCUCACCUAAUAUAGCUGGUUUUCCAAGGACACUGCCAUAGGCAGAAGCCCUAGAUGAGCUUAUCGGAUAGACACAAUGAUUAACUUGUAUGUGCCUUUGGAGGUCAUUUAAACAACACUUCACUGCUUGCUGUUCAUCUGGCCAGUGGCCGAGUCAACUACAUUGAAUUCAACCCUCCCCAAACUGUGGGCAUUGCUGAUCUGACUGGGAAGCUUCUCAUUCGGCCUGAGAAUGAUAGACCAGAGACACAGUUAUCAAGAGAGUGAAGACUUAUGGAGCCAGUCCCAGAACUUUACCAGAAAAAAAAGGGAUGUUGGAAACACUCUCCAGAGCAGAAACCAACAAGAUUUAACGUCAUGUUUAUGCUUUCCUACAAACUAAAGUUCCACAAAAUCAGAAAGCCCCAGUUACUCCAUGAGGAGAAAUGAUUAUAACUAGUAAGAGGAGCAGAACCUCCUUGUCCUUGGAUUUAGAGGCUCCUUUUCCUAAGAAUGGAGCAUGUAUAAAUAAGAAUGUAUGCAUGUAUAAGAAUGUAUGCAUGUAUAAAUUCUUUGAAAAUUAUAUUAUUUCUACAGAUUUUAUUCUGGAUACUAAUGAUGUGCCAAAUUAAUCAGGUACUGAUUCAUCUUUUGAAAUCAUCUAAUGUGUUUUAUCCAGUUAUCUUCUAGCAGUGUGCAAUUCAAAAGCAUCAUCGGUGUCUAAACUUUUAAAACAUCUGUUAGAGCAAAAUUAAAAGAGUGAUUAGUAGUCUUUUUUCUUCAGUAAGAAUAAGUGGUUGAUAAAAUUUUCAUAUUUUUCUGGAAAAGUUUUUAAAAGUUACAUGUCAUUUGGGGAAAAUGUCUCAUAAGUUUUUGCACAGAGAUAUUUCUAGCCCUGUGGAACAUGGUUUUGUGAGACAUCAUAUCUAUAAAAUUCCAGAAAAACAGCAACUGGAUUUACAGAUCUGUUGCAACAUGCAAAUUCACUGCUGCCUUUACACUAAGAAAUUUAUAAGCUAGCCAUAUAUGCUAUAUUUAUUUUGUUGUUAAACAUACCUUAGGUUUACUCAGAAUUUUCAAUUUGCUAUACAAUUAUCAAUUAGCAUAUGGGAAUAUAUUACUUUAAGAUGACUUGUUUUCUUUUGAAAAUACAUAUGUGCUGAGGGAUAAGAUUUAUGUCAGAAAUUGACAUUGUAAGUUCUUGGAUAAGUUCUCGCAGCACAGUUUAAUGAAUUUUCAUUGGAAAAUGUAAUUUAAAGACUCACUUUUUCAUCUGUUACUCAGGUUCAGAAAUGUAUGUUUUAAGAUCUACUUGCCAGUUUCUCUUUUUGAUCCAAACAUAUGAUCUGCCUUGAUAAAUAACAACAUCUGGUACCAAGAAAAAGAAAGAAAAAAGAUUAAGAGUAAACCUAUGGCACUAUGUAAAGUGAACAUAUUUUGUUGUUACGAAAUAGAAAUAAUAGAUCAGGCAUGGCUGGGGAGUAUUCCCUUUGCAUAACAAACACAAGUAGUAAACAGGUAUAGCAACAAAAAGAAUUUACAUAAUGGUUAACAGGGAUCAGGAAAGUGACUUUCCUGAAAGAGUUAUUUAUUCCUGAUGACAUUGAUACCUAGUAGUGUUCGCUGCCACCCUAUCUUAAGGGGAAAGAAUUCUGCUGGUGAGUGUCAUCUGAGCAACCAUUUAAAAAUCCGAAUCAUUUUAGAUUCCUUAGUGGGGCAACAAGGAUGCAUGCUUAUGUACUGUGACUUGGUAGGAGAAGUGGGCCAAUAUGAGAGGUGGAGAUAAAACUCGACUGUCUCCCAUGGCAUAUUUACGUUUACUUGAUGCUAAAUCAAAUGAAACAAGCCCUUGUACAGCUGUUAUUAACUGCCUUUGAAAAUUUGGCCCUUGUUUCCCAGGAACUUGAAAUAAAAAUGCCAACAAAUGGUUCUUGUGUAUUUUGGUGGAAAAAAACUUACUUUCCUUUUCUUUUGAUUGAAAAAAAAUUAUUGUUGAUCUUUGAAAAUGAAUCAAGGCUUUAAAGAGGAUUAUAGUGGAUAUUGCAUUCUUUAUAAAACUUGCCUUAAUGCCUA